rnacentral:rRNA from 1 species
GUCGCAAGCUUACCCUGUGAAGGUCCUAUAGUAAGCAAAAUGGGUAAAACCCAAAACGUCAGGUCGAGGUGUAGCUUACGAGGUGGGAAGAAAUGGGCUACAUUUUCUAUAGCAGAAUACUACGAACGGCACCAUGAAACUAGUGCCCGAAGGUGGAUUUAGAAGUAAAAAACAAAUAGAGAGUCUUUUUGAACCAGGCUCUGAGACGCGUACACACCGCCCGUCACUCUCCCCAUCACCCCUUAACUUAAGUAAAUAACCAGACAAACCAAAAAGCGGGGAGGCAAGUCGUAACAUGG